rnacentral:rRNA from 1 species
UGUCUCCCCCCUCCAAUCAGUGAAACUGAUCUCCCCGUGAAGAAGCGGGGAUAUUAAUAUAAGACGAGAAGACCCCAUGGAGCUUUAAACCCGAUGACACCCAUUUAUUUCUACACCUUGAUAUUCUAUUUGGCUAUGUUCCAUCGGUUUUAGGUUGGGGUGACCACGGAGUAUAACAAAUCCUCCAUGAAAAAAGGAAUAGCAGUCCUUAUUAGAGAACAACACUUCUAAAAAUUAAGAUAUUAAUUUAUAAUGAUCCGAUAUUCGAUCAACGAACCAAGUUACCCUGGGGAUAACAGCGCAAUCCACUUCAAGAGCUCCUAUCGACAAGCGGGUUUA